rnacentral:rRNA from 1 species
GAUGAACGCUGGCGGCGCGCCUAACACAUGCAAGUCGAACGGUUAAAGCACCUUUUAGGUGUGUAUAAAGUGGCGAACGGCUGAGUAACACGUGGGCAACCUGCCCUCCUCUUGGGGAUAGCCUCGGGAAACCGAGGAUAAUACCCGAUACUUCAAUGUGGCCGCAUGACGACAUUGAGAAAGCUUUGGCGGAGAAGGAUGGGCCCGCGGCCUGUUAGCUUGUUGGUGGGGUAGAGGCCUACCAAGGCAAUGAUGGGUAGCUGGGUUGAGAGACCGACCAGCCAGAUUGGGACUGAGACACGGCCCAGACUCCUACGGGAGGCAGCAGUGGGGAAUCUUGCACAAUGGGCGAAAGCCUGAUGCAGCGACGCCGCGUGCGGGACGAAGGCCUUCGGGUUGUAAACCGCUUUCAGCAGGGACGAGGCGAUAAGUGACGGUACCUGCAGAAGAAGCCCCGGCUAACUACGUG